GGUCCCAUAACUCAGUUGGUCAGAGUGUCGUACUAAUACUGUGAUUCGCUCAUAAUAUUGGUAAUGCGAAAGUCGUGAGUUCGAGCCUCACUGGGACCA